AUGGCGGAGGCAUCGUGGAGCAACUCCCCUCCGUCUGCCAAGCAUCACCGUGGUGAGGCGUCUGGCAAGGAGCCGAUGGUGGACGACGACGAUGUUUCGGUCCCCGGGCAGAAGCUGGACUACACCGUGGCGCUCAAGGUUGAUACCCACCUGAAGGAGCCGCUGGAUGUCAUAUGCACGAGCAAUCCAGACGAAGCCAGCAAGAGGAUCCGCGAGAUCAGGAAGAGGCUCGGAGGCAUGCUUCCUCGGUCGAUCGACGUUGAUGUCGAGUAUACCAGCGAAGACGAACCUCCACAAAUGGCUGCAGUUCUGCAGUUAUGCGUGGAAGAUCUCUGCCUAGUAUACCACAUCACCGCGGCAACCAAAUGGCCCAAGGAACUCCGCCCGCUCCUGCAGGAGAAGGAGCUGUACACCUUUGUUGGCUUUUGCAUUGGAGGUGACAAGGAGAAGCUGAAGUUGUCUGGUUUGGAGAUCAACCCCGACAAGUUCGUCGACAUGCAGCGCCAAUGGAGAGUUCCAAACAAUGGAAAGAGGUGGCAGUCUUCGGCUGAGUUUGCAGCCAGCCUCAUCCACCCAUCCUACAAGAAAAUGAAGCAGAAGAUCAACAAUGAAGAGGACCACAAACUAUGGGGGAUCAGCCCACUGCCAAAGCACCUCAUCGAGUACGCAGCGAAAGAUGCGUACGUCACCUACGAGGCAUGGAAGAAAAUCGAAACCACCAGAGAAGGUUUCAAGCAAUGGCGAGAGGCGGAGGAGCAUUGGGAUGACCCCUACUGCUGGGGACAAUGA
rnacentral:rRNA from 1 species